AGUCUUAUAUUCAUUAAAUGAUUUUAAAUUGCAAAUUUAAAGGUAGAAAUUUCUUAAGGCUU
rnacentral:tRNA from 1 species